UAUUCUGUGUUAGCAGUGGCGUAAGGGUGCUUAACACGUGGGUAAUCUGCCGCGAAGUGUGGGAUAACUCGCUGAAAGGCGAGCUAAUACCGCAUGUGAUUUUCCUGAGGCAUCUCAGGGAAUUCAAACAUGGGUCGCAAGACCUGUGGUUUCGCGAUGAGCCCGCGGCCUAUCAGCUAGUUGGCGGGGUAAAAGCCCACCAAGGCUAAGACGGGUAGCUGGUCUGGGAGGACGACCAGCCACACUGGAACUGAGACACGGUCCAGACACCUACGGGUGGCAGCAGUCGAGAAUUUUUCACAAUGGGGGAAACCCUGAUGGAGCGACGCCGCGUGGGGGAUGAAGGGCUUCGGUUCGUAAACCCCUGUCAUUGGCGAACAAGUGUUACGUUAUAAUACAGCGUGACUUGAUAGUAGCCGAAGAGGAAGGGACGGCUAACUCUGUGCCAGCAGCCGCGGUAAUACAGAGGUCCCGAGCGUUGUUCGGAUUCACUGGGCGUAAAG
rnacentral:rRNA from 1 species